rnacentral:rRNA from 1 species
UAGGGAAUCUUCCGCAAUGGGCGAAAGCCUGACGGAGCAACGCCGCGUGAGUGAUGAAGGUCUUCGGAUCGUAAAACUCUGUUAUUAGGGAAGAACAAAUGUGUAAGUAACUAUGCACGUCUUGACGGUACCUAAUCAGAAAGCCACGGCUAACUACGUGCCAGCAGCCGCGGUAAUACGUAGGUGGCAAGCGUUAUCCGGAAUUAUUGGGCGUAAAGCGCGCGUAGGCGGUUUUUUAAGUCUGAUGUGAAAGCCCACGGCUCAACCGUGGAGGGUCAUUGGAAACUGGAAAACUUGAGUGCAGAAGAGGAAAGUGGAAUUCCAUGUGUAGCGGUGAAAUGCGCAGAGAUAUGGAGGAACACCAGUGGCGAAGGCGACUUUCUGGUCUGUAACUGACUCUGAUGUGCGAAAGCGUGGGGAUCAAACAGG